rnacentral:rRNA from 1 species
AUGAACGCUAGCGACAGGCUUAACACAUGCAAGUCGAGGGGCAGCACAGGUAGCAAUACCGGGUGGCGACCGGCGCACGGGUGAGUAACGCGUAUGCAACUUACCUAUCAGAGGGGGAUAACCCGGCGAAAGUCGGACUAAUACCGCAUGAAGCAGGGGCCCCGCAUGGGGAUAUUUGCUAAAGAUUCAUCGCUGAUAGAUAGGCAUGCGUUCCAUUAGGCAGUUGGCGGGGUAACGGCCCACCAAACCGACGAUGGAUAGGGGUUCUGAGAGGAAGGUCCCCCACAUUGGUACUGAGACACGGACCAAACUCCUACGGGAGGCAGCAGUGAGGAAUAUUGGUCAAUGGCCGAGAGGCUGAACCAGCCAAGUCGCGUGAGGGAUGAAGGUUCUAUGGAUCGUAAACCUCUUUUAUAAGGGAAUAAAGUGCGGGACGUGUCCCGUUUUGUAUGUACCUUAUGAAUAAGGAUCGGCUAACUCCGUGCCAGCAGCCGCGGUAAUACGGAGGAUCCGAGCGUUAUCCGGAUUUAUUGGGUUUAAAGGGUGCGUAGGCGGCCUUUUAAGUCAGCGGUGAAAGUCUGUGGCACAACCAUAGAAUUGCCGUUGAAACUGGGGGGCUUGAGUAUGUUUGAGGCAGGCGGAAUGCGUGGUGUAGCGGUGAAAUGCAUAGAUAUCACGCAGAACCCCGAUUGCGAAGGCAGCCUGCCAAGCCAUGACUGACGCUGAUGCACGAAAGCGUGGGGAUCAAACAGGAUUAGAUACCCUGGUAGUCCACGCAGUAAACGAUGAUCACUAGCUGUUUGCGAUACACUGUAAGCGGCACAGCGAAAGCGUUAAGUGAUCCACCUGGGGAGUACGCCGGCAACGGUGAAACUCAAAGGAAUUGACGGGGGCCCGCACAAGCGGAGGAACAUGUGGUUUAAUUCGAUGAUACGCGAGGAACCUUACCCGGGUUUGAACGCAUUCGGACCGAGGUGGAAACACCUUUUCUAGCAAUAGCCGUUUGCGAGGUGCUGCAUGGUUGUCGUCAGCUCGUGCCGUGAGGUGUCGGCUUAAGUGCCAUAACGAGCGCAACCCUUGCCACUAGUUACUAACAGGUAAAGCUGAGGACUCUGGUGGGACUGCCAGCGUAAGCUGCGAGGAAGGCGGGGAUGACGUCAAAUCAGCACGGCCCUUACAUCCGGGGCGACACACGUGUUACAAUGGCGUGGACAAAGGGAGGCCACCUGGUGACAGGGAGCGAAUCCCCAAACCACGUCUCAGUUCGGAUCGGAGUCUGCAACCCGACUCCGUGAAGCUGGAUUCGCUAGUAAUCGCGCAUCAGCCAUGGCGCGGUGAAUACGUUCCCGGGCCUUGUACACACCGCCCGUCAAGCCAUGGGAGCCGGGGGUACCUGAAGUCCGUAACCGAAAGGAUCGGCCUAGGGUAAAACUGGUGACUGGGGCU